rnacentral:rRNA from 1 species
UACGAAGGGGGCUAGCGUUGCUCGGAAUCACUGGGCGUAAAGCGCACGUAGGCGGAUUGUUAAGUCAGGGGUGAAAUCCUGGAGCUCAACUCCAGAACUGCCUUUGAUACUGGCGAUCUCGAGUCCGGGAGAGGUGAGUGGAACUGCGAGUGUAGAGGUGAAAUUCGUAGAUAUUCGCAAGAACACCGGUGGCGAAAGCGGCUCCCUGGUCCGAUACUGACGCUCAUGUGCGAAAGCGUGGGGAGCAAACAGG